rnacentral:lncRNA from 1 species
UCUCUGGGCAUUUCUAAAAUCCAUCCUGUAAUUUGUUACGAGCAGUACACUAAAUGUAUCACCAUUUUGAAAGACUUCAACGUUGUAAUGCAUAUUAUUUUGUGCAUUUCGUAAUGAUUGACAUACACACUAUUCGUCUGGCGUAUUAAAUUAUAUCCCUGGUACCUUUGAUAACUAUUAUGCUUAAAAUAAUUGUUAUUGAAUAAAGAACUUUAUAUAUACUCUAAUGAGUCAUUCUUUCCAGUAAUGUUUGUUUGAAUAUCAGAUGGGUUUCUAUCCACAUAUUUAAAAUAUAUCACCACAAAACACACAGCA